AGAAGAGAGACAUGCGCGCAUAUCAAUAAGCGGAGGAAAAGAAACUAACAAGGAUUCCCUUAGUAACGGCGAGUGAAGCGGGAAGAGCUCAAAUUUGAAAUCUUCAAGGUUCUACCUUGACGAAUUGUAGUUUAUAGAAGUGUUUUCUGUUAGUGGAGUGGCAAAAGUUCUUUGGAAUAGGACAUCAUAGAGGGUGAGAAUCCCGUAUUUGGUCAUUCCUCCUAGCGUUGUGAUACACUUUCAACGAGUCGGAUUGUUUGGGAAUGCAGCCCAAAAUGGGUGGUAAAUUUCAUCUAAAGCUAAGAUAUUGGCGAGAGACCGAUAGCGAACUAAGUACCGUGAGGGAAAGAUGAAAAGAACUUUGAAAAGAGAGUUAAACAGUACGUGAAAUUGUCAAAAGGGAAGCGUUUGACACCAGUGUUGUUUUUCCGAAAAUCAAUUACGAAUGUUUUAUUUUUGAGGAGUUAUGACUUCAUCGGCUUGCUCCUUUCUUUAUGAAACUUUCUUAAUGCACUUUUCGGUUAACAAGUCAACAUCAAUUUCUUUUGUUGUAAAAGGGUAUGAGGAAGGUGGCUUUCUUUUCGGAGAAAGUGUUUAUAGCCUUGUGCCUCUGCAAUCGGAGAGAUUGAGGUCCUGCAGCGUAGAUCCUUCGGGGUUAGAUACGUUUGUGCUAAGUUAUAGCUUUUCAUAGACAACUUGUUGACUAUGUUUAGUCUUGUAGCUUACUCGCUGACGCUAUCUUACCUACGCUUAGGAUGUUGAUAGUCACAGCGUGUAC
rnacentral:rRNA from 1 species